UUAGAACAUUUUCAUAACCCCCAAAGGAAACCCUAUACCCAUUAGCAGUUACUCCCUGUUUCCCAUUCCCUAAAGCCAUCAGGGGAUGGACACUUUGGUUGUUUUUACCUUUUAUUUCUUUUUGGUAUAUGCCUAGGAGUUGAAUUGCUGAAUCAAAUGGUAGCUCUGUUUAAUUUUUUGAGGAACUUAACAUGGCUUAUUUUGGUGAAUUAUUCCUAUCAUCACUUUUGGACACAAAUGAAGAACACAGCAUGCCUAACUAGACAUGGGAUGAGAAUUUGUGCCGCAUAGAUUCCCUUAGCCUAGACUGCAGCAUUGGUGCUCCCAGGUGUCCCUGAAUGCUGUGUCAGUGGGAGGCUGUUGGAGCUGAAAGCCUGCUCGUCCAGUUCCGUCGCUCUCUUGGGAUCUCCAGCCUUUUAAGCAAACCAACUCUGAGCAUUUGGGAAUUUAUAAUUAAAACAAAUCAACAGACCCAAGUCUUGGAUUGAGGAACAGGCAAUGGGAUCAUUCCUCAGUGUGGCCAAAGGAUCUGACGAGCCCCCAGUCUUCUUGGAAAUUCACUACAAAGGCAGCCCCAAUGCAAACGAACCACCCCUGGUGUUUGUUGGGAAAGGAAUUACCUUUGACAGUGGUGGUAUCUCCAUCAAGGCUUCUGCAAAUAUGGACCUCAUGAGGGCUGACAUGGGAGGAGCUGCAACUAUAUGCUCAGCUAUCGUGUCUGCUGCAAAGCUUAAUUUGCCCAUUAAUAUUAUAGGUCUGGCCCCUCUUUGUGAAAAUAUGCCCAGUGGCAAGGCCAACAAGCCGGGGGACGUUGUUAGAGCCAAAAACGGGAAGACCAUCCAGGUUGAUAACACUGAUGCUGAGGGGAGGCUCAUACUGGCUGAUGCGCUCUGUUACGCACACACGUUUAACCCGAAGGUCAUCCUCAAUGCCGCCACCUUAACAGGUGCCAUGGAUGUAGCUUUGGGAUCAGGUGCCACUGGGGUCUUUACCAAUUCAUCCUGGCUCUGGAACAAACUCUUCGAGGCCAGCAUUGAAACAGGGGACCGUGUCUGGAGGAUGCCUCUCUUCGAACAUUAUACAAGACAGGUUGUAGAUUGCCAGCUUGCUGAUGUUAACAACAUUGGAAAAUACAGAUCUGCGGGAGCAUGUACAGCUGCAGCAUUCCUGAAAGAAUUCGUGACUCAUCCUAAGUGGGCACAUUUAGACAUAGCAGGCGUGAUGACCAACAAAGAUGAGGUUCCCUAUCUACGGAAAGGCAUGACUGGGAGGCCCACAAGGACUCUCAUUGAGUUCUUACUUCGUUUCAGUCAAGACAAUGCUUAGUUCAGAUACUCAAAAAUGUCUUCACUCUGUCUUAAAUUGGACAGUUGAACUUAAAAGGGUUUUGAAUAAAUGGAUGAAAAUCUUUUAACGGAGACAAAGGAUGGUAUUUAAAAAUGUAGAACACAAUGAAAUUUGUAUGCCUUGAUUUUUUUUUCAUUUCAAAGAUUUAUAAAGGUAAAGUUAAUAUCUUACUUGAUAAGGAUUUUUAAGAUACUCUAUAAAUGAUUAAAAUUUUUAGAACUUCCUAAUCACUUUUCAGAGUAUAUGUUUUUAAUUGAGAAGCAAAAUUGUAACUCAGAUUUGUGAUGCUAGGAACAUGAGCAAACUGAAAAUUACUAUGCACUUGUCAGAAACAAUAAAUGCAACUUGUUGUGCUCUC
rnacentral:sRNA from 1 species